rnacentral:rRNA from 1 species
GAUGAACGCUAGCGGCAGGCUUAACACAUGCAAGUCGAGGGGUAUAGUUCUUCGGAAUUAGAGACCGGCGCACGGGUGCGUAACGCGUAUGCAAUCUACCUUUCACAGAGGGAUAGCCCCAGAGAAAUUUGGAUUAAUACCUCAUAGUAUAGCAGUUUCGCAUGAAACCACUAUUAAAGUCACAACGGUGAAAGAUGAGCAUGCGUCCCAUUAGCUAGUUGGUAAGGUAACGGCUUACCAAGGCAACGAUGGGUAGGGGUCCUGAGAGGGAGAUCCCCCACACUGGUACUGAGACACGGACCAGACUCCUACGGGAGGCAGCAGUGAGGAAUAUUGGACAAUGGCGCAAGCCUGAUCCAGCCAUGCCGCGUGCAGGAUGACGGUCCUAUGGAUUGUAAACUGCUUUAUACAGGAAGAAACACUCCGACGUGUCGGAGCUUGACGGUACUGUAAGAAUAAGGAUCGGCUAACUCCGUGCCAGCA